CAAAGCUUAAACAUAUGGCCAGAAUCCCCCAGGUGAAGUCUUCAAGAAGGGCUGCCACCAGGAGUCUACAGUGACUGACAGGCAGCAUCCUUAAACUGCCAGGCCAUCGCAAGUGUGUGAGGUUAGCAGCCCAUGGCCACCAAGAGCCUGUCCCUCUGAGGACCGCUCUGAGUAAGUGAGAGCGAGUGGGGAGUCAAGGUCACGACUGUUGUACUGCUAGAGAACAGUGAUGGUGCCAGGCUGGAAAAGAACACUGAGCUCUGGCAGAGACUGCACCUGACAUCCAUAUGUUAGCUGACAGGCCUGGCCCAGUAAAUGAUGACUAUAUCUAAAUGUUGAUGAGCUGGAGAUGCGGAC
ensembl:lncRNA